CCAUUUUGGCCUCAUCUGACCAGGGUACCCUCUUCAAGUCAUAAUUAGAAUUACGUUUGGCAAACCCCAAGCGCUUGUGUCUUGGGGUCAGAAAGGGCUUUCUUCUGGCAACCCUUCCAUAGAGCCUGUGGUUGUGGAGGUGGAGUCUGAUGGUGCUUUCUUCUGCAACCCUUCCAAAGAGCCUGUGGUUGUGGAGGUGGAGUCUGACGGUGCUUUUUGAAACCUGGUGACCCCAAGAUGCCACCAAGGCCUGCACUUCUUUGACCGUUAUUAUUGGGGAUUUGUUUGCUUCUCUCCCCAUCCUCCUCCAUAUCCCCAGGGGGGGAAAAAUGCAUUUGCAUCCUCUAACCGUGAGGUUUAACUGUUCCAUAUCUUUAGAGGUUGUUUUAUAAUUGCCCUGACAGUGCUCAGUGAUAUAUGAAGGUCUUUGACCAGCUGUCUCUUUUGAACUGACAGUUAUUUUGUUGACAGCGGGA
ensembl:lncRNA